rnacentral:rRNA from 1 species
CACGUAGGGCGCAAGCGUUGUCCGGAAUUAUUGGGCGUAAAGAGUUCGUAGGCGGUCUGUUGCGUCCGCUGUGAAAACUCGGGGCUUAACCCCGAGCCUGCAGUGGAUACGGGCAGACUAGAGGUAGGUAGGGGAGACUGGAAUUUACGGUGUAGCGGUGAAAUGCGUAGAUAUCGUAAGGAAGACCAGUGGCGAAGGCGGGUCUCUGGACAGUUCCUGACGCUGAGGCACGAAGGUCAGGGGAGCAAACGGG